rnacentral:misc_RNA from 1 species
CUCCAUUCCUUUCUUCGGUCUGGUGAUGUCUUUGAUUGGAUCUUUGCUCACAAUGCUAAUAGCCUUGAUACUUCCUUGUGCUUGUUUUCUAAGCAUCUUAAGGGAAGGGCUAAAGUAACCAGAGUUCAGGCUGCACUCUGCAUCAUGAUCAUCACAGUAGGGGUGAUAUCAUCAGUCUUUGGAACCUACUCAGCCCUCUGCAAAAUUGUUGAGAGUUUGAGAAGCUGAAUUUUUGUGUUUUGUCUCCAUCAGUGAAAGAGUAAAUUUUGAUUUUCUAGACUACCUUCUUAAACCUUCCAUUUCCAAAUCCAU